UCUGUAAACAUCAAAACAGCAACAUGACGUCCUUCACAGUCUGAUGAGUUUUCUAGAAGCUCUAAAAGACAGCGACUCAGCAGUCUGAAUGAACAGGAAGCAGUUUAAGUUGUCUUUUCUUUUACAAUAAUAUACAUAACUGUUCUCACCUGUUCCCUGUUGUCUGGUCUCUCUUCAGCCUCAGAAGAUUCAUUGGACGUCCUCUUCUUUCUGCUCAGGAGAAUUAAUUAAAACAUAAAUGACUGAAUGUUUCACUUCUGACUGUCAGUGAUUUGACCUUCAGUGAUUCAGAGCUGCUCACCUGAUCCACAGGUAGACAGAGAGGGAUAUGACAGCCAGGAGAACCACAGGGAUUGUUCCAGCAGCUGCUAACAUACCUGAUGCUGAGAAACAGUGAUCAAGAAAACAGACAGUUAAUUAGGCUGUUACAACAUGACUGGAGUCACAGAAGGUUAAGAAGCUUCUCAAAGUGCGUCACCACUUCAUUAACAACAUCCUCAUGCUGAGGUAAUCAUGCUGAUGCCACAUGAUGUCUUAUGUAGCUGAAUGUGGACAACCGACCUGCCAUAACAGUCAGAUGUAAGGUGUUCCUAUGACUUCCUCUUAUGUUCUGGGCUUCACAGUAAUAAUUCCCACUGUGUUCAGCUCUGAAGUCAGUGAUGGUGAAGUUCUGUCCUGAUGCUUUUGCAGAGGGACUCACUGACACAGAGGGAAGCUUUGGACCAUCUGGAGGACAAGAUUUAACAAAGAUUAGCAGCAGAUUUUAAGAAUGUAUUCAUCCACACAAAGACCAUUUUCAAGUCAUUAAACCCUAAAAGAUUUA